UUUGUGAAGGUGAGGGUCUGUGUGUAUAUACUCAGAGGGUGUGUUUGUGAAGGUGAGGGUCUGUGUGUAUAUACUCAGAGGGUGUGUUUGUGAAGGUGAGGGUCUGUGUGUAUAUACUCAGAGGGUGUGUUUGUGAAGGUGAGGGUCUGUGUGUAUAUACUCAGAGGGUGUGUUUGUGAAGGUGAGGGUCUGUGUGUAUAUACUCAGAGGGUGUGUUUGUGAAGGUGAGGGUCUGUGUGUAUAUACUCAGAGGGUGUGUUUGUGAAGGUGAGGGUCUGUGUGUAUAUACUCAGAGGGUGUGUUUGUGAAGGUGAGGGUCUGUGUGUAUAUACUCAGAGGGUGUGUUUGUGAAGGUGAGGGUCUGUGUGUAUAUACUCAGAGGGUGUGUUUGUGAAGGUGAGGGUCUGUGUGUAUAUACUCAGAGGGUGUGUUUGUGAAGGU